AUUGAACGCUGGCGGCAGGCCUAACACAUGCAAGUCGAGCGGAAACGAGUUAUCUGAACCUUCGGGGAACGAUAACGGCGUCGAGCGGCGGACGGGUGAGUAAUGCCUAGGAAAUUGCCCUGAUGUGGGGGAUAACCAUUGGAAACGAUGGCUAAUACCGCAUGAUGCCUACGGGCCAAAGAGGGGGACCUUCGGGCCUCUCGCGUCAGGAUAUGCCUAGGUGGGAUUAGCUAGUUGGUGAGGUAAGGGCUCACCAAGGCGACGAUCCCUAGCUGGUCUGAGAGGAUGAUCAGCCGCACUGGAACUGAGACACGGUCCAGACUCCUACGGGAGGCAGCAGUGGGGAAUAUUGCACAAUGGGCGCAAGCCUGAUGCAGCCAUGCCGCGUGUAUGAAGAAGGCCUUCGGGUUGUAAAGUACUUUCAGUCGUGAGGAAGGCGGCGUCGUUAAUAGCGGCGUUGUUUGACGUUAGCGACAGAAGAAGCACCGGCUAACUCCGUGCCAGCAGCCGCGGUAAUACGGAGGGUGCGAGCGUUAAUCGGAAUUACUGGGCGUAAAGCGCAUGCAGGUGGUUUGUUAAGUCAGAUGUGAAAGCCCGGGGCUCAACCUCGGAAUAGCAUUUGAAACUGGCAGACUAGAGUACUGUAGAGGGGGGUAGAAUUUCAGGUGUAGCGGUGAAAUGCGUAGAGAUCCGAAGGAAUACCGGUGGCGAAGGCGGCCCCCUGGACAGAUACUGACACUCAGGUGCGAAAGCGUGGGGAGCAAACAGG
rnacentral:rRNA from 1 species